GACGAACGCUGGCGGCGUGCCUAAUACAUGCAAGUCGAGCGGACGUUUUUGAAGCUUGCUUUAAAAACGUUAGCAGCGGACGGGUGAGUAACACGUGGGCAACCUACCUUAUCGACUGGGAUAACUCCGGGGAACCGGGGCUAAUACCGGAUAACAUCUAGCACCUCCUGGUGCCGGAUUGAAAGAGGGCUUCUUGCCCUCACGAUAAGAUGGGCCCGCGGCGCAUUAGCUAGUUGGAGAGGUAAUGGCUCCCCAAGGCGACGAUGCGUAGCCGACCUGAGAGGGUGAUCGGCCACACUGGGACUGAGACACGGCCCAGACUCCUACGGGAGGCAGCAGUAGGGAAUCUUCCGCAAUGGACGAAAGUCUGACGGAGCAACGCCGCGUGAGUGAUGAAGGGUUUCGGCUCGUAAAGCUCUGUUAUGAGGGAAGAACACGUACCGUUCGAAUAGGGCGGUACCUUGACGGUACCUCAUCAGAAAGCCACGGCUAACUACGUGCCAGCCGCCGCCGUAA
rnacentral:rRNA from 1 species